CUUCACAUGUGAGAUAAAUGCACUCAGAGACUCCUCACAAGUAGCUCUUUGGAGCUUCAGAUGUGAAAUGGAUCAUUCCUCAAUCUGUAAUAGACCCUUCUGUGAAGCUCUUCAAUCAAACCUGAGAAUUCAAGGCGUUUUGUAGCAUCCUAAACAGAAGGAUAUUGAAGGGAGCUGAUUCUGCUUUGAUCCUUGUGCUUGUUGUCAAAGCGCUUGGGAUUGAAGAGACUGUUGGCUACAAUUGACUGUGACAAUUAGGAGAUGAUCAGAGCCCUAGAGUGGAGCACUUAAAGGGUUUGCAUUUAAAACGCUCUUGGAGCACUAAUUGUAUGAAAUUCUGGUAGCUGCACAUUCUCUUUUUGGAGAGGUAAUGAGUGAAUGAAUGAAAAGGCAGGGAUCAUUUGCCAUUCUAAGAGCGGGGAUUGUCAGAAUAUUUCUACUUGACUGAAAUUGUUUUGGAAGAGCCAGCCAGGAGCCCCCAAAGGAUAUUUUUUUAAGUUCUUCGUACAUGAGAACCAAACUUCUUCUUGCCUACAGAUUAUUUUGGCUGAAUUUUAAUGGAUAACUUAAAAUCUGAAAGGUAACAUACUUGCAGAAAAGUGCCCAAAUCACAGAUGAAGAAGCCCACGGAAACAGCAUCAUAACCUUGGGACAGCACCCGGGGCCCCUCACACCUUUUCCAACCUGCUACCUAAUUCUCCCUGCCUGAAGGAAACCAGGAUCCUGGAUACCAGGAUCCACCCCUAUUUAACUUACUUUCCCAUGAUGUCAUGCCAAAACGGAGUGGGAUCAGAGUGCCCACUGAGCCAUGUGACAUAGCAAGCUGCUCAUGGUCUCUCGGCUUCAAUUUGCAUCUUUAAAAAUAAGGAGGUUGAACUUUCAGGGUUUUUUUUUUUUUUCCAUCUUGAGAUUAAAUGUUGACAUUUAAAGAGUCUUCUAAAGGACGCUAUUUAUCUAACUUCAACACCUUCUGUGGUUUGUUAGCUCAGGUGGAACUUCUCAGAAGCCAUGUUCUAAACGAGAGGUGGUCAAUUAACUUUAUCCUCUACCACGAGCACAAACAGACCCUGAACCGCAUGGACCAUAUUGUGAAUGUGGUUCCAGGAGGAGUGGGGGACAGAGAACUGAUGCCUGGAGGGAAUGGUCUCCUGCAGCACUGGGAGGCUUGCUGCAAAGCAUUCUCCUCCGCUUGGUGUGCUGGGCAACAUCACAUCACAAGAGCAGAAAAUCCUUUAUAGUUUGAUUGUUCUAAGCCAUGAUCCAGGUUUGGGACAAAUAUGAACUCCUGUCAUUUGGCAACUAAAGGACUGUUUGAUGAGCAAAAUGGAAGACUUCAGUAGUAGGGUUAAAGUCUCCUUUUGCCUUAGUGAUACACUAUCCAGAAGGAACCUAUAGCUGUACGACUUCUGUCCUCAGAAGCUGAAUGAGAUGAGGAAGAAUGAAUUAGGAUGACUUCCCCCAGAAGUCAAAACAGUAGGCGUUGCCUCCAGUCUUGUGACACGUGCUCUGGCAUGGGCUGCGUUUCCUAUAGUUCUAAGAGCCUCCUAGCUUGAGGGAUUUAUUUAGAUGCUUUUAUUCUCUAACCUUUCUUGAAUGAUUUCUUCGAAGAGAAAGAUUUGGUUUUUCUAGGAGCCAAACAGGUGAGUGAAUGACAAUCAACUUUUCAACAGGCGCAGAAACUCGACACUAUGCCCCUGAAUCGAAAGUGUACAAAUCUCUAGGGUUCGGGGACAUAUUACCCCAGUACUUCUUGUUCUAGGCUUGAACCAGGACGCACAUCUUUCUCUAUGAUCCAAAGUGAAAAUUUCCCCCAGAUACACACGUAGUGAGGUGAGAGCUCAAGUCUCUUUUCCUGGAGAGCCACGUGGCCCCCAAGGACAGUAAGAACUUGAUUGUUCCCAAUCGUGGUGGCUCCAAGCACAUUCUGAGUUCAUGGUUAUGGAUGCCCAGGACAGAGGCAUGGUGAGCCGCCAGUUCACAAUAUAGUAUUGCCACAUCUUGAUCCAACUGUAAGAGAGGUGGGAGACACUUUUUCUCCUCUGGACUGUUGUGGAAUGUGCCUUUCAGCUCCUCCUGCAGGAGAAACCCAUAUUCAGCUGGGGACGGGCAUGGUCUCCCGGGCAGCUUUGUUGCACGAGGAGAAUACUUUCUGCUUACCUUUGAGAAAAUUGCUUAAAUACAAUUACGCUCCCAACCAGCAUUACCCCCACCUCCUCCGAUGUCAAACAAGAAACCCAACCCCCAAAUCUAAACACCAGACAAGUAGCUUGAAAAAUGAAAAUAAAUGUUCAAAUCCAAAAGCCGUGUGCUUCUGUGAUUGAAAAUCUUUUUCUUAGCGAGUGGGAGUUGCUUUCAUCAUUGCUGGUCAUAUGUUUUUGUUUUUCAUUUCUGGUGGAGAAGUUUUCUAGGGUAUUUUUCAAACUUUCCAGCUUAGCAAAGCGUUGGCUAAAAUUGAAAAGAGAACUAGGCGUUGGGUCGGAGGCAGCGUUAGGUUUGUUCUGGUGAGGGGUGGGGGGGGGCAGGUUGCUGACACAGCGAAAAUAAGACAAAACAUUUGAAACUUCUGGCUUUGUACUUCUCAAAUGCCUCUUUUAGAAAUCGCUUAAGUCGUUAUUAACAUCCACCACCCACCUUCCCUUUUUGGUCCUGACAUUGGGUAAUAAUAGAUAAUGUUGACAUAUGUUCCCUGCUGGUCAGAAAUACUAUACUUCUGUGAAAGGUAACAUUUUCAAGCUAUGACAAAAUGUAUUUUACUUGGACAGAACAUUAGUUAUUGGACUAAUCUCAGAAUGUGGGCUGUGGGGUAAAAGUUUUAACAUUUUCGUUGUGGGAGAAAGUUUCUUGGAAGAGUAAAAGCAUCAGUAUGGGGUGUCUUUAGCUUUCACCAUUUCUAGAGGUACUGGCUCGAUGUCAAACUCUUAUGUCCUUAGGAAUGUAAAGGAAACAUUCCCAGUAUGUAUGAAAAACAUCUGUCCACGGACACAGCAACUUUUAAAAAUGAUUAUACCCAACUUUACUGCAGUAUGGAUUAUGGAAUCAAAAAAUAUUUUUCACUGUGUACCAAAGAAUUCUGUUUUACGGGCCAGUUUUAAAGCUUUUAACUGCAUGAGACAUAUGCUGCAGUUCUGUCAUUUGUUCUCCAUGUGAUGUACUACGAAAUGUGUGUGUGAGAGAGAGAAUGAGAGGAUGCGAGAGAGAGAGAGAGAGAGAGAGAGAGAGAGAGAGAGAGAGAGAGAGAAAGGAGAAAAGCAUGCAAAUUCUUCUGAUCAAAUGUGGUCCUCAAAAGUACUUUUGAAACUAAUUUAGGGGAUGAGUAAGGAAAUGCCCCAGCUGGCUCCCAUGCUACUGAAGUCUGAACAGCCCUUUGCAAAACUGGAAAAACUGAUUUUGUUUUGAAGGCUCACACAGACUUUUGUGUUGUGGAAAUUGGACAGAGUUUUUAUUGAAUCUGGUCCUUUGUGUUUUAUGACAGUCUGAAUGGGUGUUAAGAUUCCACGAAUAAAUCUCUUGCCGUUUCUGAAA